UACGGAGGGUGCAAGCGUUAAUCGGAAUUACUGGGCGUAAAGCGCGCGUAGGCGGUUUGAUAAGUCGAUUGUGAAAUCCCCGGGCUCAACCUGGGAAUUGCAGUCGAGACUGUCAGACUAGAGUGUGGGAGAGGGUGGUGGAAUUCCCGGUGUAGUGGUGGAAUGCGUAGAUAUCGGGAGGAACACCAGUGGCGAAGGCGGUUGCCUGGAGCUUUGCUGACGCUGAGGCGCGAAAGCGUGGGGAGCAAACAGGG
rnacentral:rRNA from 1 species